AUGGAAGGCGCGGCGGAGCUUGUUUCCACCGUCGGGCUGGUGGUGGGUGAGGAGUACCGGCAGCUCCGCGGCGUCGGCCGCGAGGUGGCUGAGCUCAGAGACGAGCUGGCCACCAUGAACGCCAUCCUCCGCAUGCACUCCGAAGCUGACGAGGGCGGCGUGGACCACUUCGUCCGGGAGUGGAUGAAGCAGGUGCGCGAGCUCGCGUACGAUUCGGAGGACUGCAUCCACCUCUACAUUUUCCGGAUCAGGUGCCGGCGUAGCGACGGCCUUGUCGCUUGGUCCAAACGCGUGCUUGCCACGCUUUUUCCUCGACAUCGCCUAGCAGGCGACAUCAAGGACCUUCGCGCCCGUGCGGCAGCCAUCAGUGAGCGCCAUGCGCGGUAUGGCGUCAGCAGAGAGGCACUGCGCCGCUCUCCUUUAGCUUUAGCCCCCGUUCCGCGGGCAGGGUCCUCAUCCCCGUAUGCGCUUGGCCCUGCCCACGACCCAGGCCAGCUCGUCGGCAUCACCGGGCAGGCUAACAUCCUUGGAGAGAGGGUGAAGGCGGUGGAUGACCCAGAUAAUGACAUGAAGCUUAAGGUGAUCUCCAUCGUGGGGUUUGGACGGCUUGGAAAGACUACGCUGGCGAUGGAGGUGUGCCGGCAGCUGGAGCCCGAAUUUCAACGCCAAGCACAAGUUUCUGUAUCCCAGAUCUUCGAUGCCGAGAAGGACAUGCUGGGGCUUCUGGAGCGCAUCACUCGGCAGAUCUUGAAGCCGAAAGUACAUAACAAGGAAGGCAUCAAGGUUGAAGAAAGUAUGACUUUGGAAAAGGCGCUCCAGGACAAGAGGUACCUUAUUGUGAUCGAUGAUGUGUGGACCAUAGCAGCUUGGGACGCAAUCCUAGCCAACUUACCAGAGAACAACUGUGGAAGGAGAAUCAUAGUGACCACUCGCAUAGCAACAGUGGCUAAAGCAUGCAGUAAUAAAAAUGAGUAUAUCUAUACGGUCAAGCCGCUGGAACCAGAAGACUCCAAGAAGUUGUUCCUCAGUAGAGCAUUUGGGUCCAUGGAUGCCACUUGCCCUGAUAGCCUGAAAAUGGCAAUGAUUGAUAUUUUGAAAAAAUGUGGUGGGCUUCCACUGGCCAUUAUCAGCAUGGCCAGCUUAUUGAGAAACUAUAAUUCAGCAGAUGGAAAAGAUAUGUGGGAAAGAGUUUCCAAGUCAAUUGGAUCUCACAUGGAGAGCCAACCUAGCCUUGAGGGAAUGAGGCAAAUAGUCACAUUCAACUACAACCAUCUGCCUCAUGACAUAAGGUGCUGCAUGAUGUAUUUUAGCAUUUUCCCAGAGGAUUAUAUGGUAAACAAGAAUCGUCUGUUGCAUAGAUGGAUUGCCGAAGGAUUGGUUACUGAGGUGCGGGGGUUGACCCUGCUGGAGGUUGCCCAAGCCUACUAUGAAGAACUUCUCAGUAGGAGUAUGAUUGUUCAGGCAAAAGAGGAAGUUAGAAACGAGGUUAACAUGGAGACAUGCCAAGUGCACGACAUGGUACUUGAGGUCAUGGUGUCCAAAUCACUAGAAGCUAACUUUGUUAGCCUGAUAGGUGGGCAGUACGAAGGGAUGUCAUAUGAUAGGAUUCGUCGCCUCUCUAUCCAUGGUGAAGAGGAACCUGUGGACUUCACAUCCAAAAAAAAGGGUGUGAGGAAUGUGGAGAUGAAUGUAAAACAUGUUCGAUCACUGAGCAUGUUCAAUAAUCAAGGGCACCACGUGCUUGACCGACUGGGUGAAUUCACCCUACUAAGGGUACUUGACCUGGAUCACUGCGAAGGACUACAAAACAAGCAUAUGAGAGAUGUCUGCCGGUUGUACCUUCUUAAAGUACUUGAGUAUGAGGGAAACAAAUGUCAGUGUGAUGCCUCCGGAAGUUGGUAA
rnacentral:rRNA from 1 species